AGACACCAUUGCCAGGAACCAUGCCACACCAUACCAGUCAGUGAGCCAGGCUGGUUCUUCUUAUCACAAAAGAUCAAAUGCCCAGGAAUAUGAGUCAUCUGAAGAUUCCUGCUAAUGAGCAGAGCCCUGCACGAGGGUUGACAAGACUGAAGCCCAGAGUUCUUUGUCCAUGAAUGUUGGACAAGAAUGAGCAGUGCCUGCUUCUCUUAACUUCGAAUCUGCUUUAGCAGAAAGAGCUUAAUGGAAAAGCAUGCCCUGCACUUCUGUUUUCCAUGAGGAGCCAGAAGUCAUCAGCAAAGCUGCAGCCCAAGAUGAGAGAAGCCAUUCGCCUCCUGGGGCCUCCAUGGAGUGAAUGCCUUUAAGAUGACAAGAGCUGGGAUGUAGGAGGAAGGUCAUUUUCUCUCCAAUCUCACACUAAGAAAACGACUAUACAUCCAGGUUAUUCUGAACCUUGGAAAAAAACAGAUUGCUCUCUGCUGGAUAAGUGGUGGCCAAGAGAACCACGUGUGCUGGUGGAAAAGCGCUGGACCUGCUGCCCAGCACCACAGCCGACAGCAGCAAAUGGCCAUUGAACACUUCAAAAUGCGGGGACUCUCGCCCAUUUCCCACAGACCUAUAUACCCCGCCUGCAAACCUGACGGAAAGGCCCACACACCACACCAGAGAGAUGUGGAGGGACGGAGCAUUCAUCAUAGACAGCAUUGGAGCCCCCGUCCCGGAACCCUGAGCAUGCCUGCAGGUUAUCAGUGGAUGCCUCACCUUAGAAAAGUCCCGUAAAACUGAGGAAGAUUGUGGGAGGUAUCCUUGGGGGUCAUCUAGACCAGCACUCCAGCCUGCCCCAAAUCUACAGAUCAAAAAAGCAAAGUCCAGAGAAGUAACGUCUCAAGGUCACAUAAGUCAGUCCCUAUCAACAACAGCACUAAAAUCAAGGCUUCCUAAAA
rnacentral:lncRNA from 1 species